rnacentral:tRNA from 1 species
UUAAUUGAAGCCAAAAUAGAGGCUUAUCAUUGUUAAUGAUAUCACUGAAUAAUCUAUUCCAAUUAAA